rnacentral:rRNA from 1 species
UACGUAGGGUGCAAGCGUUGUCCGGAAUUAUUGGGCGUAAAGAGCUUGUAGGCGGUUUGUCGCGUCUGCUGUGAAAUUUCGGGGCUCAACCCCGAACUUGCAGUGGGUACGGGCAGACUAGAGUGUGGUAGGGGAGACUGGAAUUCCUGGUGUAGCGGUGAAAUGCGCAGAUAUCAGGAGGAACACCGAUGGCGAAGGCAGGUCUCAGGGCCAUAACUGACGCUGAGAAGCGAAAGCAUGGGGAGCGAACAGGA